rnacentral:rRNA from 1 species
GACGAACGCUGGCGGUGUGCUUAACACAUGCAAGUGGUGCGACGAACCAGAGCUUGCUCUGGGGCAAAGCCGCGAACGGGUGAGUAACACGUGGGUAAUCUACCCCGAUGACCGGGACAACCCGAGGAAACUCGGGCUAAUACCGGAUGUGGUGCGGAGACAUAAGUCUCUUCACUAAAGGUAGCUUCGUCUUCCGCAUUGGGAGGGGCCCGCGGCCCAUUAGCUUGUUGGUGGGGUCAAGGCCUACCAAGGCAACGAUGGGUAGCUGGUCUGAGAGGACGAUCAGCCACACUGGGACUGAGACACGGCCCAGACUCCUACGGGAGGCAGCAGUGGGGAAUCUUGCGCAAUGCGCGAAAGCGUGACGCAGCAACACCGCGUGAGGGAAGAAGGCCUUAGGGUUGUAAACCUCUUUCAGAUGGGACGAAGGUUCUCCGGUGAAUAGCCGAGAGGAUUGACGGUACCGUCAGAAGAAGCUCCGGCUAACUACGUG